UGAGGAAUAUUGGUCAAUGGGCGAGAGCCUGAACCAGCCAAGUAGCGUGAAGGAUGACUGCCCUAUGGGUUGUAAACUUCUUUUAUAAAGGAAUAAAGUCGGGUAUGCAUACCCGUUUGCAUGUACUUUAUGAAUAAGGAUCGGCUAACUCCGUGCCAGCAGCCGCGGUAAUACGGAGGAUCCGAGCGUUAUCCGGAUUUAUUGGGUUUAAAGGGAGCGUAGAUGGAUGUUUAAGUCAGUUGUGAAAGUUUGCGGCUCAACCGUAAAAUUGCAGUUGAUACUGGAUAUCUUGAGUGCAGUUGAGGCAGGCGGAAUUCGUGGUGUAGCGGUGAAAUGCUUAGAUAUCACGAAGAACUCCGAUUGCGAAGGCAGCCUGCUAAGCUGCAACUGACAUUGAGGCUCGAAAGUGUGGGUAUCAAACAGGAUUAGAUACCCUGGUAGUCCACACGGUAAACGAUGAAUACUCGCUGUUUGCGAUAUACGGCAAGCGGCCAAGCGAAAGCGUUAAGUAUUCCACCUGGGGAGUACGCCGGCAACGGUGAAACUCAAAGGAAUUGACGGGGGCCCGCACAAGCGGAGGAACAUGUGGUUUAAUUCGAUGAUACGCGAGGAACCUUACCCGGGCUUAAAUUGCAGAUGAAUUACGGUGAAAGCCGUAAGCCGCAAGGCAUCUGUGAAGGUGCUGCAUGGUUGUCGUCAGCUCGUGCCGUGAGGUGUCGGCUUAAGUGCCAUAACGAGCGCAACCCUUGUUGUCAGUUACUAACAGGUCAUGCUGAGGACUCUGACAAGACUGCCAUCGUAAGAUGUGAGGAAGGUGGGGAUGACGUCAAAUCAGCACGGCCCUUACGUCCGGGGCUACACACGUGUUACAAUGGGGGGUACAGAGGGCCGCUACCACGCGAGUGGAUGCCAAUCCCAAAAACCUCUCUCAGUUCGGACUGGAGUCUGCAACCCGACUCCACGAAGCUGGAUUCGCUAGUAAUCGCGCAUCAGCCACGGCGCGGUGAAUACGUUCCC
rnacentral:rRNA from 1 species